rnacentral:rRNA from 1 species
AACGAACGCUGGCGGCAGGCUUAACACAUGCAAGUCGAACGCUCGUAGCAAUACGGGAGUGGCGGACGGGUGAGUAACGCGUGGGAACGUGCCCUGAGGUACGGAAUAACUGAGGGAAACUUCAGCUAAUACCGUAUGAGCCCCGAGAGGGGAAGAUUUAUCGCCUUGGGAGCGGCCCGCGUCGGAUUAGCUAGUUGGUGGGGUAACGGCCUACCAAGGCUUCGAUCCGUAGCUGGUCUGAGAGGACGAUCAGCCACACUGGGACUGAGACACGGCCCAGACUCCUACGGGAGGCAGCAGUGGGGAAUCUUGCGCAAUGGGGGCAACCCUGACGCAGCCAUGCCGCGUGAACGAUGAAGGCCUUAGGGUUGUAAAGUUCUUUUACCCGUGACGAUGAUGACGGUAACGGGGGAAUAAGCUCCGGCUAACUUCGUGCCAGCAGCCGCGGUAAU